GAUGAAGAACGUAGUGAAAUGCGAUAAGUAAUGUGAAUUGCAGAAUUCAGUGAAUCAUCGAAUCUUUGAACGCACCUUGCACUCCUUGGUAUUCCGAGGAGUACGCCUGUUCGAGUGUUAUGAAGCUCUCAAAACGCAAUUGGCUUAAAACCUGAUUGUUGUUUUGGAUUUGAACUUUGCCGUGUUAUAACGGCUGGUUUUAAAAGUAUUAGCUGGUACUAGAACGAAUUGGUUCUACUCAACGUGAUAAUUAUCUGAUCGUUGAGGACAUUCCUUUCACGAGGAAUGGCCAUAGUAAAUUCAAUGGACUGCUUCUAAUCUGGCUUUAAUUCUUUAUUGGAUUAACCACUUUUCAAAUCUGACCUCGAAUCAGGUGGGACUACCCGCUGAACUUAAGCAUAUCAAUAGCGGAGGA
rnacentral:misc_RNA from 1 species